AUGGGACGCUGGACCUCGGGGAGCCCCAUCCCAGGCCCGCGCCCAAAUUCUUGGGCAGGGGAGGAUAGAUCGACGAUGGCGCAUCACAUAAGGGAAUGGGAGAUCGAGGAGAAGGGAGACGGGGGUGGGUGGUGGCUUGCAGCAUGGGGCGGGCACAUCCAACGAGGGUGGUGUUCUGUGGAUCUGGUGCCCCCUCUCCUUUGGCGACCUCCUCCUUCUCAUCUGCUGCCGAUGGCUGUGAGUUCACGGCUGCUCCGGAGCUCCAACGAGCCAAGAGUAGCAAUGGAUUGUACAGAAAAUAGCAUACUAAAUGUUCUUGAUGAGCUGAUCAUGGACCUCGGCAAAAUUGACAAUGCUAUCGACACUCUUUGCGACGCUGUAUAA
rnacentral:rRNA from 1 species